rnacentral:rRNA from 1 species
AGCGUUGUUCGGAUUUACUGGGCGUAAAGGGCGCGUAGGCGGCCCUCCAAGUCGCGUGUGAAAGCCCCGGGCUCAACCUGGGAAUUGCGCGCGAAACGGGGGGGCUUGAGUUCGGGAGAGGAGCGUGGAAUUCCCAGUGUAGAGGUGAAAUGCGCAGAUAUCAGGAGGAACACCGGUGGCGAAGGCGGUUCUCUGGGCCUUACCUGACACUGAGGAGCGAAAGCGUGGGGAGCGAACAGG